AGAGUUUGAUCAUGGCUCAGAUUGAACGCUGGCGGCAUGCUUUACACAUGCAAGUCGAACGGCAGCACGGGCUUCGGCCUGGUGGCGAGUGGCGAACGGGUGAGUAAUGCAUCGGAACGUACCUAGUAGUGGGGGAUAGCUCGGCGAAAGCCGGAUUAAUACCGCAUACGCCCUGAGGGGGAAAGUGGGGGACCGCAAGGCCUCACGCUAUUAGAGCGGCUGAUGUCGGAUUAGCUAGUUGGUGGGGUAAAGGCCUACCAAGGCGACGAUCCGUAGCUGGUCUGAGAGGACGACCAGCCACACUGGGACUGAGACACGGCCCAGACUCCUACGGGAGGCAGCAGUGGGGAAUUUUGGACAAUGGGCGCAAGCCUGAUCCAGCCAUGCCGCGUGAGUGAAGAAGGCCUUCGGGUUGUAAAGCUCUUUCAGAUGGAAAGAAAUCGGGUGGGUUAAUACCUUGCCUGGAUGACGGUACUGUCAGAAGAAGCACCGGCUAACUACGUGCCAGCAGCCGCGGUAAUACGUAGGGUGCGAGCGUUAAUCGGAAUUACUGGGCGUAAAGCGUGCGCAGGCGGUUUUGUAAGACAGAUGUGAAAUCCCCGGGCUUAACCUGGGAACUGCGUUUGUGACUGCAAGGCUAGAGUACGGCAGAGGGGGGUGGAAUUCCACGUGUAGCAGUGAAAUGCGUAGAUAUGUGGAGGAACACCGAUGGCGAAGGC
rnacentral:rRNA from 1 species